rnacentral:lncRNA from 1 species
CCCUCUUCCUUUCCUGCCCCCUCUCCAUCUCUCUCUUGCAAUCGUAUGGGUCAUUUUGCUGAUAUUAGCUGUCAAUGAAUUGUCAUCUGCUCUAUCUCCAUUGUUGCUUAGAUCAAACAUGAAGGGAUAAGAGAGGAGUAUAGGCUAAGGCGAAGGAAGAGUGUGUGGCAGUACGGUGAAGAUGAGGAAAGUGCACACUGGCACUCCUGUAUAGAUUGCUCACAAGAUG